UGGCGAACGGGUGAGUAACACGUGGGUGAUCUGCCCUGCACUUCGGGAUAAGCCUGGGAAACUGGGUCUAAUACCGGAUAGGGCCAUGCUUUAGUGUGUGUGGUGGAAAGUUUUUCGGUGCAAGAUGAGCCCGCGGCCUAUCAGCUUGUUGGUGGGGUAAUGGCCUACCAAGGCGAUGACGGGUAGCCGGCCUGAGAGGGUGUACGGCCACAUUGGGACUGAGACACGGCCCAG
rnacentral:rRNA from 1 species